UACAAACAAACAAACAAACGCAAGACGAAGCCAGUUCGAGAUACUCUAAAAAGCAGUAAUUGAAUAACGUUAUCUAGCUACUUCUGAAAAUGAUGACAUGAUACAAGACAAUUGUUUUAAAGCUGCGAUGAAGGGGAUUCGAGCAGUCCAGUUCUACCAGGGGACUGGUAUCGGGGCAGCUCGGUCUCAUCUGAGCUGCAGGAUGAAUAUGAAGAACUUCUCCACCAUGCAGUAGUCAGUCCUAAGUAUGAGCCGCAGCCCAGUGCUCAACUGCAGCUUCUGAACGCAUCUCAACUGUCUGCAGAUGAACGGAGUUCCCGUGGAAACAAUGACGCUAGGCCCUAACACUCAGCAGGUAAUGAAAAGAUGGCCGGUAGGUCGUCUGCGGUCUCAGACAGACUGCAGACGCUGUUUGAGAGGUGCAGACACAGCAGCCCAGAC